CAGACCUCUUGACUCUUUUCUGUCUUCUUCAUUGUCUCUUCAACCUGCAUGCCUCUACCCAGCUACCCAGCUGACUGUCGGCAGGCCCAACAAAUAAGGAUGUUGGUCUGUAGUUUUUCUGCCUGUGUUUCUGAACUAUCAGUGUUCAGUUUGGACAUCUAGUCCUGGGAAACUCAAGAGCAACGGACAGGGUCAUUACCAGGAACCACGUGGACCGUGGUGUCGCCAAGAAAGGCAGCCUCUGCAGCUCGGUAGAGUCAUGAUUGAUGAUCACCUCUGAAAGCUUCCAGGCCAGGACUGGAGCAAACAGGAAUCGGAUGCUUAAUAUCAGAGAAGAGGAAUUACCUUCUCAACUAGACACUCCACCACUCCAAGGAGCUCUGGUAUUUUCUAAUUGUUGCUGUUUGGAGACUUGCACAGGCUAGCCUCUGCCUAACAGGAAUCCCGCUGCCUCAGCCUCUCAAGUGCUGCCAUUACAGGCACCAGCGUGGGAAUGGAAGGUGACUUUUCUGCCACCUGUUCUUCCCCUGGACGCCGUGAACCCCGACACCAUGUCCUGGUGACCACUCUUCCUGAAGACAUCAGCCCACCAGAGUGCCCAUCUUUGAGGACUGAGUUACGGCAGGUAGAGAUUCGACAGUCACAAGUUCUUCGAGGAAAGUGCCACAAGGCUUUGAUGAUGAAGCUCUGCUCGGCUUAGGAACCUCAGCUCAAGGGUGGCUUGGAAGACUGGUAAUCAACCCAGCUGGAAAAAGAUUCUGACUACAAUUUCAGGCUGUUAGAAUUUUCAGUAGAUCAAUUGUCAGAUUUGGUGCAAGAAAAUGUCGGGAGCAAGGGGCCAAGUGGGGGAAUUAGGGGUACCUAGCUGAUGUAUAGGACAUAAUGUUUGUGCAAAAGGUCAAAUGAUGUCCUCACCAAUAAAAGACAUCUCCAAUAGAAAGCAAGCACAUCUUUAUACUAGAAAACGAUGACACAGUAAUUAUGCUACUUUGGCCUUUUGUUUUUCUGCUAAUAUUACAUCACCGAACCACACAGGCAUGGUGAGGUGGGGACAAUAAAAAUAAGUUAUCAAUGCACUAUUAACUCAGCGUGCUCUUACCUAUUAAUAAGACAUUGAUGUCUCCUCUUAAGCGUGUCCCAUUGAGAAGCACUUUCUCGUUACCUCCAAGCGGCAUACACAAAAUGGCUUUUUUAAUAUACUCAUGUCUGUGGAUGCUUGGUGCUAAAGACUUGCUUAAAUGGUCAAAGAUAUCCUAUUUAAGAAACAGGAAACACUUACAUUGCACAUUAUCAACAUUAGAAUAGAAUCUCAUUAUCCAUUAGCUGGUAUUUGUGCGAUUUACAACUCUCUUUAGAUUGAGUUUUGCAGAAUUUCAUGAUCUUUGCCACAUCAUCAGCUGAACACGUAGGUAUGAUGUCUUUGCUCAUCGGUUUGAUAAUAUUAGCCAAGAUUAUGGCUGGAGAAAUCUUUUAAGAGAUGCUUCUAAUUAACUAUUAAAUAAAUGCAUGGAUGACGUUAUCUUCAUAACAGAUAAGCUACUUGGAAUUGCCUUCCAUAAAACAGAAUGAGUUAAUUUUUUUCCUUUGUGUUUUUGUUGACCUUUGCCUGUCUCCCCUCAAUCUUGAGCAGAACAUUCCACAGUGUAUUGUUUUUAGAUUUGGAUUCUCUUAAAAGUUUUCAAAGAAAAAAAGCUGGAAAGGGAAACUCUCUGAAAUGGCCUUUGGGAAUUACAGAUGCAUCAAAUGACUGCGAUGUUCCUUCUGCCUAGAGGCAGGUCCAGCAGAAUGCAUCUGCUUCUUCACACAGGGAAAGAAGAAAACCCAACAGAGGCGAACCUUUCAAGCUGCAAGAAGUAAAUCACCUUAUAAUUUAGAGAGAAUUAGAUAUUCAUGAAGCUGAAAACUUUUUUGUAUC